rnacentral:rRNA from 1 species
AUUGAACGCUGGCGGCAUGCCUUACACAUGCAAGUCGAACGCGAAAGGGGGCAACCCUGAGUAGAGUGGCGAACGGGUGAGUAAUACAUCGGAACAUACCCAGUAGUGGGGGAUAACCAGUCGAAAGACUGGCUAAUACCGCAUACGACCUACGGGUGAAAGCGGGGGACCGCAAGGCCUCGCGCUAUUGGAUUGGCCGAUGUCCGAUUAGCUUGCUGGCGGGGUAAAAGCCCACCAAGGCGACGAUCGG